rnacentral:rRNA from 1 species
AGUGAGCGCUGGCGGCAGGCCUAAUACAUGCAAGUCGAACGGCAGCACAGUGGAGCUUGCUCCAUGGGUGGCGAGUGGCGGACGGGUGAGGAAUACAUGGGAAUCUGCCCAGUCGUGGGGGAUAACGUAGGGAAACUUACGCUAAUACCGCAUGCGCCCUUCGGGGGAAAGCCGGGGACCUUCGGGCCUGGCGCGAUUGGAUGAGCCCAUGUUCGAUUAGCUAGUUGGCGGGGUAAAGGCCCACCAAGGCGACGAUCGAUAGCUGGUCUGAGAGGAUGAUCAGCCACACUGGGACUGAGACACGGCCCAGACUCCUACGGGAGGCAGCAGUAGGGAAUAUUGGACAAUGGGCGCAAGCCUGAUCCAGCCAUGCCGCGUGAGUGAAGAAGGCCCUCGGGUUGUAAAGCUCUUUUGUCCGGGAAGAAAAGCAUCGGGCUAAUACCUCGGUGUUCUGACGGUACCGGAAGAAUAAGCACCGGCUAACUUCGUG